ensembl:lncRNA
GGAAGACUUUAGGCGAACGUCAUAUUGGGAGAGGAGCAGUGGGGCUGCUCGCUUUAGAGCCGCUGGGAGGAGGGUGUAGAAGUAGGUCCCGGUAAGCCAGAUAGCGGCCCGGGUCGAUUCUGAAAGCUUGAUUUAGUUGUGGCGGAGGCGCUGUGGAAACUAUCACCCACACUAUCAAAAUACACAAUGAGAACUUUUAAUGUAUGCAUGCAGUUUUUCCCCACAAUGGCAAUUUGCAGUGACUAUCUUGUUACAUAUACAAUAUAAUGACAGGUAUAAACGGUGAGAAGAGUACAUUAAUGGAUACUUAACCCACCCUGAAAUAAUAACCCACUUACACCUCCACUUGUAGCAUGCAACAUUAAGGAUCGUUGGUUACACGAAAGCUGUCAUGUUUGUUUUUUUAAGAUCCUGAUCCAGAUUGAGACACUUUGCACUACAGCAUCCUUGCAAAAAGAGUGAAAUUUGGGAAUGUUCGUAUUUCAACGCAGCGUCAAUGAGCUGUAAUGUUGAUAAGACCUGAUAUUUAUUCCCUGACCGAGCACAAAUUAUCGAUAUGUUCACAGAGAAGGAAGUACUGUGGCCAUUCCAAAAAUAAUGAGACAACAACUAUUGCUUACUUGCAUUGGUGCAUUUGAAUCAGAUAUGGCACUUUGAGGUGCGGUGUGAGUCCGUCAGCGGCCAUUGCUCAGAUUACAUUGCUGCUUCAUCGCAAGAACUAAUGUUUUGAAGAACAAAAACCAAAAUUGUGCUCCACAUGCAUCUCAUUAUCCGUGGAUUAUUAAAUGUUUAAUUCAUCAAUCCAAUGUAAGCUAGACACAUGGCAGGAACCUCUCGGCUUAAAAACCCCUGUCUCUGUCUCCCAACUCGUCAAAUGCUCUUACCGUCCACUCACUCAGAGUUAGUUGGAAGCUCGGAAGCUCGUAACCUCUCAAGAAAAGGCCCUUCCGUGCAUUGAUCCUCGAUGCCAAGGAGCACCGACUGAGCAGGUGUACUUGAGCUGGGAGGGAGAACGGCUUGCCGUCUCCCAACUUUGAACAGGAAGUGCCGUGCCGACGCCAAUUUGCAUGUGAAAAUGGGGCUUUUGUUGGACAGGUUUGAAUAAAACGAGUCUAAAUUCAAGGCUAAAGCCGGGAUGGGUGAACCUUGCUUGCCGCCACGGCAACGAGGGCUGCAGAAAUCGCGACGCUCUAUUCGUGAUUGAUUUUCAGCGACCAAAUUUACACGUUACAGUUCUGAAGGAUGGACGGUAUAAGGAUUCUACUGUGCUUUGAAGCUACCACACAAUACAAACACUUGACGCCCCUUCAUUCUGAAAUAACCACAGCUGGUAUCAAAGAAACUGUUCUCUAAUACCAAUUCAUGACACACCAACAAUGAGCUUUCAAUUUAAUUGAAAGUACUAAAUUCUACGUAAAUUCUUCAAAUUGCCCGGGCCUCUGGUCAAGAACAAAGAAUUUUUAUAAUGGAGCAGUUUUUUCACAGUGCUAUUUUGUGGCUGCUGAAAGCAAAGUUGCCUGGCGGUCAAAGAGGAUUUGUAUCAUACAGUGAGGGAGAAUAGGGAAAAAAGAAUAAACACAAAGUCGAUUGAUGAAGCUGAAAGAAAAGCCUGCAAAUACAACCUGCCCACUCAUAGUUUGAGCACAUUUCUGAAAUGACUACCGACAAACCAACCAUAUUUUUAAGAAAAUUGCCUGCAUAUCCAAGGUGAUGUAAUGUGUUGUACUCUCAAGAGCCAAAUGAGACCGGAGGAUCAUUAGAUUAGUUCCCACGUAAUAAUAAGCUUCCCUUGCAAGCCGUUGCAACGAUUGGUGUGAGCAGAGGGGUGAAAUGUUCCUGAAAUUAUUCAGCUAGCAUUAUCUUUACUCCGUAUGUAUCUGCAAUGUCACGCAUCGACCGUUAAAUCGCGUUUUUAAAAUGUAAAGAACUCACACGCGGUCUACUUGAAAGUCGAGACUAACUAACAACAGGUUUUCCUCGUGGAAAAGCGUGUGGGUGAUUGAAUGCGUGGGCAAAUCUAGGAUUUCCUCCGCUCAAAGUCUCUCCUUUUUAAGGUUUAUCUCGCUGCUACACGAUGCUCUGUCUGGGGGGGAAAAAAAACAAUUGUUUAAUCAAUAUCCCGAAAGAAUUUUGGUCAUAUCAGCAGCUCAAACUCCCCACGUCUCCCCAGACGGGUUCUGGGCGACUGUUUUGUGCCAUUAUUUCAUCUGCGAUAUCUGCUACUCCCAUGUCAGCUUGGGCCACGGCAACAUUCCCUCUGCAGCCAAUCUCGCCGUUUUUGUCAUGAUGCUGCAAACUGGAACUAGUUUUUGUGAGAGCGUGCAAAGAGAAAGUGUGACAGGUGAAGGAGGAAAAUAAUCCGAGGUCACGAGGUGUGAUAACAGGACGCGGUGCGAGCAAAGAACGAGCAUCCUGCGCGCACACACACACACACAAACACACACACACACACGUGUGAGUGACAGGAAGGCCGACAUCCUCCUGUAAGAGUUCACAUGGGAAUAAAAAAAACAUAUAUAGUUGAUGGCGUAAGACAGUUCUCUGCACAAUUACUACACGGCGGACAGAUGAAAUACCACACAUGGAUUUUUUUAUGGCCUGUUCAUUUCCGUGGGCCGGCUGCUGUAUGAAGACAUAUACACACACACACAUUCUCUUUUUCAUGCAAGUCCGUUACCAUAAAGCUUCCUAUAAUGAAACAUUAAAUUAGCAACAGCAAUGUAGCUCUGUGUCCGUCUCACGCCUCCAUGAUAUAUGGUCUAUUGCAGCGUGCGUGUGUGACACUUCCUACUUUGCUCCUGACAUCCCUCUCUGUUAGCAUUUACAGAUCACAAAAGGAAGUGAAGAGUCUCAUCCGCAGCUGAUAGUCGAAGACCGCAGGAAGGGGAAACGGUGCUGGAAUUACAGAUGUGACAAGCGAUUCCAGAAAUGUUUAUAAAUUGUACGGGGACUUAAGUUUAGGAAAAUGCUCUCCUAGUACUUCCCCCGGCCCGAGGCAAUUUCCUGUGGAAAAGGGUGGUAGUAAAUAUAGUUAAUGUGCUGACGCGGCGAUGUUACACCAACAUGCCGUUAAAACAAGAUGUGAGAUAUUGGAGUGAUUCCUCCCACAAUUGGGAGGGGAAAUCCUCGACCUAAUCGUAAAUAGGAUUCGACUGGAGAGGACCAUCAAGAGUGGAAGCAUUGAUCCAUCAAAAAUUCAUAAACUGUCACUGCCGGGUUUCAGAUAAUCCAAAAUGCAUUGACGGGUUUCCUAAAGCUAACUAAUACGGAAUGGUAAUAACUUGGUCUAUAACCAGGAAGUAAGGGCAGCAAACUCUGCGUAAUAGAUGUCGGGCUGGUUGUCGCUAUUUGAAGGCGGUAGUUUUUUGUUGGCAUGCAACGAGCAGACAACGUGACAUUCGUGUGAUAAUGGACAAAAGACGACAAACUAAACUUAAAAACAUCACACGGACUGUUGAGAGAAGAUAUUGGACAAACUAAGCUGAAGGAAGCCUUACGUGGAGAAUGCAGCGAGCCGCAGGUGUACGUCAGUGAAAAGCCGGACUCGGGGAAAGCAAUUUCUCCCUCAACCAAUGUGUAGCAGAAAUGCAACCAGAUGGAUGUGAGUAACUCCACUGGACCUGACGCCAUAGCAACAGGAAGAAUGGAAAUGUUCUUUUUUUUUAUUUUAUUUUUUUCAGCCAUCAAAUAUCAUAGGAUUCUCAAAUGAAACGAUUACAAAUCUGGACAUGACCCAACACUAAUCUUUUUCUAAUGUCAGUAAUUUCUCAGUGUCUCUGUUGAAUCUUCAUUUCUUCAUCCCACACGAGCGCUGUGACUUGUUACUGAUAGUUUAGCCUGACUAGAUUGUAGCCAGGAGGCCAACCUUUACUGCACUGCUGCUAAUCCUGCUGUAAUCCCUUGUAUUGUAGCACAAACCACCAAAAUGCCAUGUGAAAUUGAAGGGUACAUAUGAAGCCACACAGAAUCGUAAAUUCUUCCUGUCUAGUUUAUUUUAUACAGACGAUAGAUUUUUAAUCUGUAGGAUUUCUUCCUGACUCUCAUCCGUGUGGAUUUGAGGUGUUGAUCAGAGCCAACCGCUCAAGCUCCACAGCCAAGGAAUUACAUCUCACUUUGUCCAUCCUGUUCAAGCAUCAGGGGGAAAACAAUUCCAGCACGACUGGGUGUCUGAUGCUUUGUGACGAAACCUCGGAUCACAUGUUUAUUGCCACCACAUUCACUUGGGUGUCUCCGCUCUGCACCAUCCUUUUUUCCGAAAUUUUUUUUAAUGAUUUUAUACAGCGAUUUCUGUGAACAGUUUCCUACAUCAUCCAUCCAAAAAAUGUAAUUCUAUUAACCUAGUUGUCUCCUCCACCCGGAACUGAUUUGUUCACCCCGUCCAGUCUUAAUGAGGGCAAGUCGGAGUAACAUUUCUGGGAGGCUCCGCUCCCAUGGUCAGAUCCCCUUACCUUUUUUUUAUUUAUUUUAUUUUUAUCCAUGCAUUUGAUAAACGCGCAGAUCAGACUGAACCAUUUCUGAUGUGAGGAUUGCUGUGAACUCAUCAGUGGGGUCUUCCUCACCUCAAAUCACACAGCUUUUACUACUAAAUUGUGAGUUUUUUAGUCAGACCUUAUGACUGUUCCCCAUCUUGUUUCCUUGUGUGUUUCUGUAGUGGCGCACUAAGAGUGUAAAGCUCCUUUUUAUGCCAGUGAAUGGCUCGCUUGCUGCUCAGCAUGUAGAAAACAAUUAUUUUAAUUUGAAUCCAUGAAUAUUCUUUCCUCCCUCACAGCUCCAGCCUCACAUUUAACCUUUUUAAUUAUUUGUAUAAAGCGCAUUUCAUGUCAAUAGAUUGACACUCAUCCUGAAACAUUCUUGAGGUUUUAAACAUGGCUUUUGGAUUAGAUCCCAGGUGGCACUGUGGGUUUCCUCCUUUUAUUUCCCCACCAUCAUAUAUCUCCACACCUUUUCAUAAGCUAAGGUUUUGUCAAUGUCACACUAAAAGUUCUCUUGCAUUUCCUCUACCUAAAGUGAUUUAGAGAAAAGGUCAUGUAAAUGCAUUCCUGUCGAAGGUACAGAAUUGUCAGUAUUCCGCACACGGAGUCAAGGUGUUUGGAGACUGAGACUGUUGGGUGAAAUGAAGCGGAGUAACUGUCAGUCCUAAGCGGUACAAUGGAAGUCCUCUCUUGACAAAACGUGGUUAUUAUCUCUAAAUACACUUUUUUUUUUUUUUUUUUUUUAGGAAGUUGGAAUCAGUCUUGGGAUUUUAAAAUAUUGUACAGAGCAAGCGCUUAAGUAAACCUGACCGUAAACCCCCCUCGGCGUCUGGUCGGGUGACUUGUACCGUGCAUCUCAGCGGCAGGAGAUGGACGGUGAUUGACCGAGGUCACUCGUGCUGCACGGUCGCGAGCCCUCUCCAGCUGUGUCAGUUCUCCACUUGUCCACCUAUUCAUUAUUCAUAGACAAGUCACCGGAAAGAGCGUAAUUGCCACAAAUUACAUUCUACUGAGGCUUGCGGAUGAUGCAAUUACAGUUGAGACGUUAUAUUAGUGACUCAUCAUCCUAAGGAAUUGCAAUCUGGCAGAUGGCUAAUGCAGUUUCUGGGAGACCAUUGAACUAUUGUCAUUUCACUCUAUUUCAUCAUGAAAGGAACUGUGAGGUUUAAUACAGUUUCUCACUAUUGGGAGGAAAUCAGUGCAACUAAAGAUGCUUUUCUGGACAGGAAUAGGGACGCACUAGUGGGACAUGUUGCGUGUCCUCUCUUAAAAUGUGAAAAACUUGAGUGUUUUGUGCGGAAUGCAAUGACCCCCGCCGGCAGGAACAACAGGCGCCAAAGGGGUUCCUGUUGCCGUCCUCACUAUACUAUCCGGCCUUCAUCAGAGUGGAGAUGAUCACGUCGAUCAGUAAAGUUGACGUCAACCCGUGUUUUUUUCGCUUACCAGGUGAAUGUUUCAAAUGUUUGCCUACCCCAAAUCAGUUGCCAAUAUACUGGUAACGGCACCUCAAAUCGAUCAACAAAGGGACUCAAUUUGUGAGCGAUUUGUUUCUAUCAUCGGUACUGGUCUUUUUUUACAUGAUGUGGAAACAAUGAGCUCAUUGUUUAACACCGGCAGCACCUUCCAGCUGUAGCAGCGAUUUCGCCUGGUAAGCAAGCCUGGCACCAACUUUGCUCAUGUUUUUUACAAUAAAGGGAAAAGAAAAAAGCUGAAAUCUGAUAAUGGCCUUUAGAGCUACAAAAGGGAGAGUGAGAUUAAAGCAUAAAAACACCAGGAUAGCCAUUAAAGAGUUACGGCAAGAUACAAGGUGGGGGGGGGGAGGUUGUGCAUGACAGUGGCAGGUCUUUUUGUUCCCAACCUUCAAUGCAGCGAGCCUCCAUUCUCUCUCUGUCUGAGGGGCUUCGCUUCCAUCAACAGCACAGAGACGUGGAGGUCCCACAGAGAGAUGAAGGAAGAAACAGAUUAGAGAGACAACCUGAUGCACAGAAGCACCGGCGGCUGCUCCGGGACGGAGACGGACGGCCGUGAUGCCGGCGCUGCGCCCCGUCUCUCUGACAAAAGGAACAUUGUCUGCCAGUGUAAUAAAAAAAAAAAGUGUUUACUCAGCUAUGUAGGAACAAAUACGACUGGCACAAAUGUGGAAUAGUAUGGCUGACAUUUACAAAACAAAUAUUUUCUUUUUGUUUUUAGCUUUUAUAUUUAUCGUAGACGUUGGUCUCGGACUUCACAUCAAUGUCCGGACAGAGAGCGCUGCUCUCUGCUGCUGCUUUGAUUUCACUUAUUGAUUCAAUUAUUCAUUCAAAUAAUGUAUCCCUUAAGUUCCUGGUAAAUACAUCCGACCUGUGAGAAGAAUACCAACGGGUUUUGAUUUAAAAUCUUCUGUCGGCCCGAGCUCAGCUGUAAGUUAUAAGGAUAACCAGAAUUUAGAUGGUAAGAUUUGCAACGGCAGACGACAUCUCAGGGAGUCGGGGCCCUUUUUUAACAACCGUUCUUCAGAAGAAAUGACUUUACCUUGAACCCCCCCCCUCUUGCUCAGUUUCUGACCCACACUUUAUUUCAUUGGACAUUUGUUUGUAGACAGAAACUGAAGAGCACACUUGUGUCACUUGAGUGCAAAGUGUUUUCUGUUGUUCUGCAGACGUGGAGGUGGUUUUUGGACCUUCCUCAAGAUCACAUUUAAGAGGAUUCAGAUGUUUUUGUUACCAGUCUUGAACCACACACAAUUACUUAAUAAUUAUAUUAAUAGAUUUUAAGGAAAACAAAGCUUAAAACUAAGUGACAUGUGUCGCAACAAAAAUAGAACUCUUAUCAUCAUAAUCCCGUCACCAUAGAGGUAUAGAAGGUUCUGAUUCUGGGUGUUUUCCAGACGCUGGAUGUGAUAGUAGCACUCAUCCAGAAGGUGUUUGGUUAAAAAGAGAAAACUGUGCACGGCAGAUUUUGAGUGUCGUGAGCCUUACGGCGUUUGAAUCACUUUAGUACUUCAAGGCAUGACGUGGUAACAUGGAUGCAAAGAAGGCCGGGUCGAGCACUGAGCAGCAUGGUUUCCCAUUGUUGUGUAUGUGGAGGAGGUUUUAAUCAGUUAAACUUAUAGGACAGACCAUUACCAAUAACGGCACAUAAAACUUUACUGGCAGGACGUCUCCCAUUUAUCUGACGGUCACCUCCGUUUCAGGCCCGACAGAACCUCCAAUCUCCUGACGGAUAACUCGACGCUUGAUUGAAGCCCAUCCAUAUCAUCCUGACAAAACAACCUAUUGAAUCUUUUUUAAAGUGAAAGGACUCACCUUCCAUUUAGAAACAUGUUCUCAUUUAUAUGCCUGUUCGCUUGUUUUCCCUGUUACAGAAUUGACAACCUCCCUUUAUAGAUAAUAGCGUCUAGUCAGUGUCAAGACUUCCAAUCCAUCCGUCCACUUUGGUGGUCUUCUAACUUUAAUGGUGCACCGUGAAAAGAUUUUUAUUUGAGACUUUGAGUGAAAUGAGUGUGUCUCAAUAUGUGAAUUACCAUAAAAUAUGGUUGCAACGUUCAUGCUCCUUCACGGAUGAACUGCAGCAGAUCCCCUUUAUUCAUUUUUACUCCAGCACCAUGAUGUGGGCACAAUUUGAGUGUGGCCAGUACUUUUGGUUUAAAACACUUAAAAUAAUCGUCCUCAUGCAUACGCGCUCAAUGCAAAUUUAUAAAUGCACACUAAAUAAGAUGGGGAACAUGGUAAAAACUAUACCUGCUAGAAUUGUCAUCAGUGUAACAGGCCACUGUUUUUGGCAGGCAUUAGAACCGCAAAUUAAUUACACAAUUUAACACUAAAGGCCACAGUCUGAAAUAAAUGACUAGCAUGAUGCAAAAAAACCUGCAGCCAGAAAAAGUUCUACAACAUCUUCACCGUAUGUCUCUGUGAACUCCUUUGCAAAGCUUUUCCUGAUAUUUGUUAUUUUAUCAAACCCUUGAAAGUAGUACUGACAAAAGGAGUAUUUAAAGCAGCAAACCAGCGCAGUUGUGGGAACGGCGAGAUGUUUUGUGCACAGUCUGGCAGUACAAACGACAUUUCAUCAGGAGGAGAAGGUCAACUUUAUCCAUCACCAUUGUUGAGAUAAAUGACAAUUGUGAAGCAGCUUAAAGAUCACUAAUUGAUGUAAGACUAACAUUGAUGUGAAGGAAUAGGCUUGGGUAUUCCAGUGCCUAAAACCACAUUUAGUCUGUGUUUCUUUAACAGAAUCAGCCCCUAAGGCACAGCCAAAGGCUAAGCCUUUUAAUUAGCAUCAAUUGAUGCCAUGUUGAACUACAAAGGUGUCUUAAGAGCAGAUUGUUCAUUUUGUUUAUCAAAAGUGAUUAGCACUGGGGUGACCUUCGAAGAAUUGUUCAUAAUUGUAUCCCAACGAACCACGGGUCUUAAAAUAUCCGAAUAGUCAAAUUCUAAUGAAUUGUUGUUUCUACUGAUUUAUGCAGUUUUGUUUCGUAAGACCGGAUUUAUUCUGAAGGCUAAAUUCCAAUAAAUACACACAAUUAGUGUAUUUUUCUUCCAGGUAGGCUCUCUAGACAAAGCUGACACUGGCCGGUGUCAAAUCUCUGAGGGAAGUCUAGUUGGGGAGAGUUGCCCCCCCAUCCCCUCCGUCAAUGCAUGAAUAAUGUAUGAAGGAUCUGGAGACAUCACUUAGAGAUGCUGUCAAUAUCAGCUGGGGCCCUGCCCACCCCUGUGGCUGCUGCCCUUUACCACAACCUUUAACAGGUGGACUCCCCUAAUGCAAAGACGCCCUUGUCUUCUAAAAUACCCAAAUGAUGAGAUCGAAAUGGGCCACCGCCACAACGAUGUGCGUUUUGUGGAAGAUGGGAGAUUUAUCGAUUUUUAUGAGAUUGUUUUAAGAUUUUAGUUGUAUAAUGUUUACGUGAGCUUUUGCAGAUGAAUACAGACAUUUCAUCAUUAUGUCGAUAUAACAAGGCAUAUAGUUGGCAAAUAUGAUUGUAUCAUUUUGGGGGGCAAUAAGGAGGAUAUAUUAGGAGUGGACCCUAAACUGUGUGUGUGUGUGUGUGUGUGUGUGUGUGUGUUUGUGUGUGUGUUUUUGAAGGAUGUGUUUGCAUUCACCCCGUGUUUACAGCCUCAAAGUCAAGGCUCAUUUUAAACCGAGAGAAAAGACUGAUUUGAUGUGACUCUUCUUAGAUGUGCACAUAAAUGUUAAACAUUUUCCAUCUCUAAAUAAAAACGAGUGCUCUGUUAAGUCAAAGCUUACGGGGGACGACGCCUCAUUCAUUUUGCGGUUGCAGCAAACUUCCCGGAGCAGUAAUGCAUUUGAAGUAUUUAUAUGCAGAUAUUUACAUGAAUGAUUAAAAUAGUGUCUCCCAAUUCACAGGUCGUUUUGAAAUAUCUGAUUCUUAUUUAGACUCGCAGGGUAAAUACUGAAGAGAGACCCAAGCGACUGGUAAAUGAGUUGCUUUGCACUGGAGAGAAACCGACGAAUAGAAAAGACAAACCUUUUUGACUGAACAAACUCCCAGAAACGGGAGGAAGCUGUCAAUGUGCAGGUGAGUCCGACUGGAGCCUUGGACUCAAUGCAAAGCAGCGGGAUCUCGUGGCUUUAAUUAAGUCCUUUUUUUUUUUUUUUUUUACAUUGGCUGUAAUAAGUACAGGCAAACCAUCCCGCUGUGUACGGUCACAAUUUCUAGUCUCCAAUUAAAAUUCCUUGGGGGUUAAAAAAAACACUGUCUCUCCUCAGGUUGAUGAAGAAGCGGUCGGAUCCCGGUGGUGGAGGGUGACAGUGAUGCAGUUAUUACACCGUAUUUGCAAUCUCGUGAGCCGUUGACGAUGAUUUUGUCACGUUACCCAGAUUCUACAUGUAAAUUGUCAAUUUGUUUAUAGAGAUGACUGUUUGUAUCAGAGUGUGUGUGUGUGUGUGUGUGUAUAUAAACUUCUACUUUAGUACAACCUGCAAUAUUAAUAGUGUGUGACAGACGAGAAUACGAGUCGUUAGUAUUACAUGAACACACAGGUAGCCUUGUGGUGAAUGGCCCUGAGGUGAGCGCCAUGCGGCUGCAUCAGUGAUGCCCAAUUAUCACGUCAACCACCUGUGUUUGACAACAUGCAAGAGACGGUCCCUGAAAUGCACAAUCAGGAGUCUCAUUAGAAACCCCACCAAUACUUCCCCUGUCUAGAAGGAGACUCCUGCAGAGACAAAUGGUUCAAAGCACUCAUGUUAAAAAUCAAAUCUUCAAAGUGGGCUUGAAUCCACAGGCUGAAAAAAGUAUCAGGGGAGUUUCAUGCAGAGUCGAAAAAUGAACGAAACUCAGAGCGCAGUCCGUCGCCCUCUUUGACAAAAGCCUGUUUGUUUUCUUUUUAAAACGGGUUCUGUUUAUUGAGCUCCUUCAAAAAGAAAUGAGCCCCGUUCUCCAUUUCUGCCAAAUGCCUCAUUUUAACUGAAUCAAAUUUUCACAUCGCUGCAGUACUCAUUUCAUUGUCAUCGUCCCAGCAGAGGAUUUGCUGCUGGCUUUCUGAGUUGAGCAAAAACUGUGUCCAAAUUGGUCCCGCGCUGUCUUGUCAGGCAGACGGAUUCUGUGACAGCUGCUGUAUUUGUUACAGAUCUCAGUAUAUCCUUCGAAUCAUUGACUUCGACCGACAGUAUUGUCUUCCAAAGACCUGGAGCCAAAGAGCAGAGAGCAACUUGGUUGAAUUGAUUCGGAACACUACCACAGGUACUACUGGUUUUGCAGUAGUGCAGUUUGUUCGAAAUUACAGCAACGACGUAAUGGAAUUAUUACAUUCCGAAGUAUUCAUAUAUAGUUUCUAGUUGUUUGCCAACAUUUCUCCGUCAUGUUUAAUUUCACACGGAGAGCUAAUACAUCUUUCCUUUUUUCCCUCUUUUAAAGUAGAAGACAUUUUGACACGUUUUUUGAAGUCGGGAGCUGAAGGAGGCGGCGUGGAAGGAUCUAUCGGAGUCACCCAUGUAGAUUUGACAGUUCAACACUGGCAGACGCGUCGGGCCGCUGAGGGAGGCGGGGGUUCAUUAUCUCCUAAUUACACGAGAUAGAGCAGAGGCUUAUUUAGCUGGAGCAGGAAAACACCUGCAGACUCAAGUGUGUCUCCCCAGAUUCCAGCACCAAGCCUGUAAAAUGCUGCCUACUAACUGAAGGAUUAAAGAGCAGGGUAAUGCCAGACACCACCUAUUUUUUUUUUUUUUCUCUUUUGGAGACGAGCAAAUGAGAAGCUGAAACCAGAAGAGAAAGGGAAGGUUGUGAUGAAUGCAAGUGAUAAAGUCCAGCCAGCUGCUUGGAUGCUGCACCGUUAACAAGGAGACGUUGUUUGGUUUGUUGGACCGACCGUGUUAAAAGUCCAAAUGAAAACGUUUCUUUUCUCCCUCCUAGCAACUGCACAGCAGGGCCGGUACCCGUGUUCUUGUGAGGGCGGGACACCACGACAUGGGCAAUGUCAUUUGUCGGCGCUAAAAGUAAAAGCAUUGUAGCUGCAGCUUGUUCCAGGAAUGCGUCCAAAGGCCCACAAAUCGUCUACACAACCUUCUUUCCCUGUGAGAUGCCUUCCUCUUUUUCUGCUGCAGCGUCAGCUGUGACAAGCUCCUUCCCCUCCGCCACACACGCUAAAUCAAACAAAAAGGAGCACAAAUCUCAAUCCGAGCUGGCCCGGAAACACUGACUGAUCAGUUGUCCAUUGCAAUAAAAGGUCACCAAGAUUCAUCUUUUUCUUUAGGUGGGAUCUGUUCAUGACAGAUACCGAUUUCUGACAGAAUCAUUUUUCAUCCACAAGUAAGAUGGGGAGAACCAAGUUAGCUGUACACAAAAGGUUUGAAAUUGGAUUGCAGUGUCUCAUGUGGAUGUAGGUUCCUAUCAUUGAAUUGAGCGCAGCCCCUCCUCUGCUGCUGCGGCUGCAUAAUGAGUAGAUACUGUGCCAUCUAGUGGCGGGUCGGAGAACUUCAACAUUACGACACUUUGCAUUUACUUACCAGCCACCUCCUUUUAAAACUAAUCUGCCUCUGCAAACAAGACUAAAUGAUGGAGCCGACUGGUGUAAAGACAGGACUACGGUGCUUAAUCAGACUGCCAUUGCCCCGGUCCACUCGUCAGAUGUCAUUUCUCGUUACUCGUCAGUUCUUCUUGCUCUUGUCUUUCUGUGCCAAGCUUGAAGAGAAACCGAUGCAUCGGUUUCCAAGGUGUAGCUCCAUUGGUCACAGGUAAAUACAUAUUGGUUACCAAUAGAGCAUUCCCCUGAUCCAACGCUGUUUGCUAGCCCCCAAUUUUGCUGCUUUCUGCAUCACAGAGCUCAAGCGGUCUCGAUUUGAUGGUGGUUACAGAGCUGCGUAAAGCCAUUAACUCUUAACUCUCCACUUAAUUAAAGACCUUGCAAAGUUUAUGAAGUUGCAAAUAGUUGGGAACUCCUGCAAGUGUCGUAGAGGCAAUUCAUUUGGUUCAAUACCGAUCUUGUUCAGAGAGGGGAAUUGCAUAUCAUUCCACCGCUGUGCUGGGACAUAUUCUCUAUCGCUUAAUGGAAUACAGUUUGCCGAGUUCCAGGAGAUACAGAACAGCCGAAGAGGUGUAUAACACCGCACACUGUCUGCCUGGACUUUCUUCUCCUCACAUAAACCCAGUGGAUUUUAUCCCACGGGACACCACCAACGGGGAGCAACGCCACACAGACCUGAGCCACAGAAAUAGACCGUGAUCUGGUCAGUGUAUCCAAUUAGCAGUCCAGGCAAAGCCUCCGCCUAAGGCUAAUGGAAAUAUAGAUACGAUCCUGUACAAAUUCAAUUGGAGGUAGGAUAUAAUAAAGGGACUGGCAGAUGGAGGCCAGGAGCCUGAAGAUGCUAUCUGACGCACGUGCUGGCUGCUUCUGCUGACCGUGCAUUACUAGCAGCCCUCGCCCACAGCGCAUGAAGAAAGAGAUCGUUUUGUCAUAUAAUAAUUAAUUACGCUUGCGCCAGCUCAGAGGACUGUAGAUAGUAUUCGUCAGCACACCAAUUGUUUUGUCUGGCUUCCAAUUUGGUUGAGUCAAAUAAAAACCCUGGCAGUGAGGAAUCUAUUCACAUGUGCUCGUCGACUUCUCCCUCCACAGAAGAAUGAGGAAUCAUCGGCGAGUACCAAUUCUUUUCCAUUUACAAUGUCAGACUUCAAACCCCUUCGGCACACAAGUGGAGACCGGACUUGUGGUGGUGCCCUCUGCGUUGCGUCUCGGGUCAGCAUGCAUAUUUCAUGUUAAUUCCUUUUCUAAUUGCAUCAAGGAGCAGUGAAUGGAGAAUUGCACGUAGCCGGUGUGGCUACAGGGCAGGAGUUUAAACAUGCAGCGUCCUGCUCGGCAGAGUAGAUCGCUGAGACCAACUCCCUGUGUGUGAUAAAGCCCUGGGCGGCUGAUCGCGGGGGGGGUCGAGCGGGGAGGGAGGGGUUCCCUCUCAUGCAGUCAUAGGUGAUUUGUCAGUAUGGUUGAGAAGGUUGGAAUAUAAACACGGGGGGCGGGUCGGCCUGUGCGUGAAGAUGGUUUUCUCCGCAUUUCAUCACUUUGAAUUAUCCUUUGUGGGGGUUUUUCCAUUUUCUUUUCUUUUUUUGUUGUUGCUUGUAAGCAAAUGAUUGAUUUUUUUUUUUCUUCCCUUUUUUUAUUGUAGGCUAAUGUCGGUUUCGUCUGUGUUUACUCAGUUUCCAGAAGAAUAUAUCCGCAGCCUAUCAAUUUAAACGCAAACCCCGAAGGACUUUCAGUAACAAUGGAGAUGUUUGCUUUGUAACCUGAAACAAGCUAAUGAGCCCCUUACUGUACAUUGCUUUUCAAUACACAAUUAGAACCGUAUUUGUUUCAUUUGAUUUUGAUGAACUCCAAAGAGUGCCAAAUCACUAAGUGCAAGUAGAGCGUUACAACAGAGGUGAUUAAACAAUACUAAUCAAGCUUCGCAAACCAACAGCUAAUUAGCUUAACUCCAGCUGCUGUUGGAUAAAGUAGAGUUGGUUAAUCAUGAGCGACUGAGGUGAGGUGGAAAGAUUAGCCAGUAUUUUUCUGGUUUGAUGCAUGUUCCGCACUCGGCAGCCCGGCUGCUUUAUAAUUAAAGAACAUCACAGAGAAGACGCAGCUAAGGCAGAUAUUUACCUCAAGCGGCUUUUCAUUUAGCCACGUCUGAGCUGCAUUCAAAUCUUCUCCGAGACUCUUUGUUGCCAGGCAACAUGAACCCGGGGUUCUUUGUGGGAUUCUAGUUAGGAGACUUUUUCCUUUCUCUGGCUUUGACAAUUCUUAUCUGAGAAAUACACUGACUGGUCGAGGUCAAAAAGAUGGGGAUGUCAAUCAAAAAUCAAAAUUAGAAUGCCUUUUUAUGAGAUGAGCUACUGAUGCAUGACCUGGAAGUAUUUCCUGAUAUUUCCACAUUGUUAAAUUUCACUUUUUCCACUCAUAAGUGCAAAUGAAAUUUUUUGAACAGGAGAAUAAGAGUGCUUGAAACGAGGUAGAUAUCUUCUACCUGUCUGACCCAAGAAAAGGAUUGUUUUUUAAAAAAAGGGGUGGGGUGGGCAGUUGUAACCCCCGCCGCCGAGGGAACCCUUUGCUUUCCAUUGGCAUGCACUAAACGGACAAUCGGAAUAAUUUCGUCAGCGAGCCCGGCUGACCCCGGCGGGGUCACGCAGUGUGACCGGCCUUCGCGCACAAGCGUGUUGAAAAGUGACAGUCUGGUCAAGACUCACUCUCCCGCGGGACCAGAGAUGAACCGGAGUGAGCCGCUCACAUUGUUGGAGGCCUUCCACAUUUUAAUUAGAAGACAUCUGAGAAUACAGAGAGCUGACCCCACUGCUGCCAGCUUUUCUAACCCCCCCCUCCCCCCUCCCCACUCCCCAUCUGACAGGGAUGCCAUCACGAGUGUCUGUGCGGGGAUCUGAGGGUGAAGGAGGGCUGCAUGAUUUAUCAGGAAUAAUUUGGCAGCCUACCUGCUGAAUUCGUAAACAACAUUGAUCAUUCUGACACCGCUCGUACAAAUGGCUGCAGUUCCUAAAAAAUGACAGAUCAUUACAAUAACGGUGCAGGGGCUGGAGGGCUGCUAAUAUGGAUCUUGGCCCGGAGAUAAACUCAGAUUCUCAACAGAAUCAACAGUAUCAUUGAUUUUUUUUUUUUUUUUUUAUGCAUCAAGAGGACAAAGCACUCUUAGACGAAUAACACGGAAUGUUGAAGUUUUGGACAAAGCUGGCACGUACAACUUUUGUGAUUUUAAAACGGAAAAUGCCUCAUUCUUUUGUGUUUUUGUAACACCGGCUCCAGCGCAAGCGAGUAGCCCGCGGUGCUGCUUCUUUCUUCUAAUUCUCUGCAUAUCAACUCCCUUAAUCUGUGAGACUAGUAUUUGGAUACUGCGAGGUGUUGAAGCGUGAACUCAGAACCUUCUGCACAGACGCAAAGGCUGGUAUUUUUGGAGUCUCUUUUCCGCUUGAGGGAAAUGAUUUGGUGAAGAAAUGAAUAAAAAAAAAAUUAAAUGAGCAUAGAUGAUAUGAGCAGAUUUUGCGACAGGAUGGUACAGAGCGGAAUGCGGAAGAAAUAGAAAAGAUCUUUCUGCAAACUUCAGCAGAGACUGGGAGGUAGGGCAGUGCAGCUGCCCCCCCCCCCACCC